ACGUGUCAAACAAAUAAAAUACAAACCCUAAGACAAAAGGAAUCCAAAAACCUUCACUUUGCCUCACCCAAAACAGAGAGUAAGGACCAUCCAAUAUAAGAUCCGCGCAGUCUUCUCUCAUUUCUCAGAUAGAAAAUUAGGGUUAGGGUUAGGGUUUCCAGUCUUUACCGGAAUGGAGGAGAUUACAGAGGCCGUUAACAACAUCAACAUCUCAGAUUUGCACAAGAAGAACCGCAUUCAGGUUUCUAAUACCAAGAAGCCCCUCUUCUUCUAUGUUAAUCUCGCAAAGAGGUAUAUGCAGCAACACAAUGAAGUGGAACUUUCAGCUCUUGGAAUGGCUAUUGCCACAGUAGUUACCAUUGCAGAAAUUCUGAAAAACAAUGGACUGGCUGUUGAAAAGAAAAUCACAACCUCUACAGUCGAUAUGAAAGAUGAAUCUAGGGGAAGACCUGUCCAAAAAGCCAAGAUUGAGAUAUUACUCGGAAAGACUGCAAACUUUGAUGAGCUGAUGGCGGCUGCAGCAGAAGAGAGGGAAGCUGGAGAUGUUGAGGAGCAGAGCUGAGGAGAGAGAUUUGCCUGGAAUAGGGCUUCUUAUCCUUAAUUUGCUGAUACUAGUUAAUGACUUUGUUUGUAGUCAGUUUCAUUUAUUGUGCCUCGGACUGAAUUUAUUAAGCUCAAGGUGAAUUCAAGGCAAGAUUUUCCUCUUUAGUUGCCAACUUAGAAACAUUCACAAUUUAUAGAUUCAGAUUGCUACUUUUGGCUCUAUUCAAUUGGUCUGUUGUGUUAUGAUAAAAGUAGUUGUGAUCUUGGUGGUGUCCAA